rnacentral:lncRNA from 1 species
CUCUUGUUGCCCAGGCUGGAGUGCAAUGGCAUGAUCUCGGCUCACUGCCACCUCCACCUCCCAGGUUCAAGCAAUUCUCCUGCCUCAGCCUCUCGACCUCCCUAGUAGCUGGGAUUACAGGCGUGCACCACUAUGCUCGGCUAAUUUUUGUAUUUUUACUACAGAUGGGGUUUCACCAUGUUGGCCAGGCUGAUCUUGAACUGCUGACCUCAGACCCCCAGCAGUCUGUAAGUCACCAAGUUCCAACCUCAUUCCUGUUCCACUUUGAGGUCUCAGUCUCCCCCAGGUGACCAAAAGUCUUUAAUUUUUUUAUUCAUUUAGCCAUUCAGCAAAAAGUGUACCACAUUUCUACUCGAUGCCACAGUUGGCAGACUUUUUCUAUAUGGGCCAAGAGAAAAUAUUUUGGACUCUGUGAGCCAUACAGUGAUCUCAGUGGCAAUUACUCAACUCUGCCAUUGAACGCAAAAGCAGAAUAUGUCAACAAAUUGCAUGGCUGUGUUGCAAUAACACUAUUUGCAGAAACAGGCAGUGGGCCAGAUUUGGUCAUAGUUUGCCAAACCCCGCUAUGCCCUAGCAAGGGCAUAAGGAUCUAUGGUGAACAAGCAGAUAGAGUUUCUGUUCUCACGUAGCUACUGGUCAAGCAGGGGAACCAGACACUGGUCACAAAAUUAAACAAAUAUGUUGAAAAUUGGAUGGUCACAGUGGCUCAUGCCUGUAAUCCCAACACUUUGGGAGGCCAAGGCAGGUGGAUCACUUGAGGUCGAGAGUUCAAAGCCAGCCUGGCCAACAUGGUAAAGCCUCAUCUCUUCUAAAAUUACAAAAAUUAGCCAGGCAUGGUGGUGCACGCCUGUAAUCCCAGCUACUCGGGAGGCUGAGGCAGGAGAAUUGCUUGAAUCCGGGAUGUGGAGGUUGCAGGGAGCCAAGACUGUGCAUUUGCACUCCAGCCUGGGCAACAAGAGCGGAACUCCACC